AUCGAACGCUGGCGGCAGGCCUAAUACAUGCAAGUCGAGCGGAGCGGCGGAAGGGUGAGUAAUGCCUAGGAAUCUGCCCGGUAGUGGGGGACCACGUCCGGAAACGGGCGCUAAUACCGCAUACUAUCAGAUGAGCCUAGGUCGGAUUUGCUAGUUGGUGGGGUAAAGGCCUACCAAGGUGACGAUCCGUAACUGGUCUGAGAGGAUGAUCGGUCACACUGGAACUGCGACACGGUCCAGACUCCUACGGGAGGCAGCAGUGGGGAAUAUUGGACAAUGGGCGAAAGCCUGAUCCAGCCAUGCCGCGUGUGUGAAGAAGGUCUUCGGAUUGUAAAGCACUUUGAGUUGGGAAGCGUUACCCACAGAAUAAGCACCGGCUAACUUCGUGCCAGCCGCCGCGGUAAUUC
rnacentral:rRNA from 1 species